GAUGAAGAACGUAGCGAAAUGCGAUAAGUAAUGUGAAUUGCAGAAUUCAGUGAAUCAUCGAAUCUUUGAACGCACAUUGCGCCCGCUGGUAUUCCGGCGGGCAUGCCUGUUCGAGCGUCAUUUCAACCCUCAAGCUCUCCGGAGUUUGGUGUUGGGGCGCCUGGGGCUUUUCGACCUCAGGGCCCUCAAGUCCAUCGGCGGGACCGCCAGGACACUGAGCGCAGUAGUAUUAUUUCGCUCGGUAGGAUCUUCCACGGCGGGUCGAUCUGGCCGCUAAACCCCCCAAUUCUCACCAAAGGUUGACCUCGGAUCAGGUAGGAAUACCCGCUGAACUUAAGCAUAUCAAUAAGCGGAGGA
rnacentral:misc_RNA from 1 species